rnacentral:misc_RNA from 1 species
ACUGGGGUGAAGUCGUAACAAGGUAGCCGUAGGGGAACCUGCGGCUGGAUCACCUCCUUUCUAAGGAUGAUCCUUCAGCGAGCUUCGGCUCACUAUCGGAUCGUUUUAAGAAACAUCAGUGGCCAACGGUCGUCAGGAUCGUUGAGCUGCAUUGGCGGGAUUUCGCCGUCUUCGUUUCUCUUUCUUCGCGGACGAACACGCGCUGGGCCUGCAUGGUUGCAGGAUCCCGGUCCUUAACUGGAUAUGCGUUAGGGGCUUGUAGCUCAGUUGGUUAGAGCGCGCGCUUGAUAAGCGUGAGGUCGGAAGUUCAAGUCUUCCCAGGCCCACCACACUCAUCGAGUGAGCAUUCGUCUUCUGGUUACGGGGCCAUAGCUCAGCUGGGAGAGCGCGUGCUUUGCAAGCAUGAGGUCGUCGGUUCGAUCCCGUCUGGCUCCACCAGAUGGUUUGAUCAUCGACUGAUCGUGCACCUAAAUCGUCCGCGAAACAUCACUUCGCACCCACUAGUCCGGAUGGACAGUGACGUGCGUGAUUUCUGACAUCGUAAAGAGGAGAUCGAUCCGAGUUGGAUCGUGCAGCAAGCAAUUGCUACGCGGUACUCCAUUAUCUCCGGAUCAUUUCGGCGCUCGUGCGUCUUCCAAGGUAGCUCACAAGGCUGCGUUGAAAGACAAGCGAGUUGUAAAUGAUCCUUUUAGCGAAGCUUGACCGCCUCGCUAUCGGAACGAUCUUACGAAGCAAGCUGGUCUUUCUAAUCAUUGUCCGGCUGCAGAUAGCGUUCAUCGAGGGCGCGUAUCGCAAGGUAAUUCUGCAGACAACAUUCUGCCGAGUGUGUGGACAUUGAUAAUGAGAGCAAUCAAGUGCCUUAAGGGUGUUCGGUGGAUGCCUUGGCGCUGAGA